rnacentral:rRNA from 1 species
CCGGAUACGUCCUUCGGGAGAAAGUUUACGCCGAGAGAGGGGCCCGCGUCCGAUUAGGUAGUUGGUGGGGUAAUGGCCCACCAAGCCGACGAUCGGUAGCUGGUCUGAGAGGAUGAUCAGCCACACUGGGACUGAGACACGGCCCAGACUCCUACGGGAGGCAGCAGUGGGGAAUAUUGGACAAUGGGGGCAACCCUGAUCCAGCAAUGCCGCGUGAGUGAUGAAGGCCUUAGGGUUGUAAAGCUCUUUCGCACGCGACGAUGAUGACGGUAGCGUGAGAAGAAGCCCCGGCUAACUUCGUGCCAGCAGCCGCGGUAAUACGAAGGGGGCGAGCGUUGUUCGGAAUUACUGGGCGUAAAGGGCGCGUAGGCGGCCUGUUUAGUCAGAAGUGAAAGCCCCGGGCUUAACCUGGGAACGGCUUUUGAUACUGGCAGGCUUGAGUUCCGGAGAGGAUGGUGGAAUUCCCAGUGUAGAGGUGAAAUUCGUAGAUAUUGGGAAGAACACCGGUG